GAUGAACGCUGGCGGCGUGCCUAAUACAUGCAAGUCGAGCGAGCGGACGAGAAGCUUGCUUCUCUGAUGUUAGCGGCGGACGGGUGAGUAACACGUGGAUAACCUACCUAUAAGACUGGGAUAACUUCGGGAAACCGGAGCUAAUACCGGAUAAUAUUUUGAACCGCAUGGUUCAAAAGUGAAAGACGGUCUUGCUGUCACUUAUAGAUGGAUCCGCGCUGCAUUAGCUAGUUGGUAAGGUAACGGCUUACCAAGGCAACGAUGCAUAGCCGACCUGAGAGGGUGAUCGGCCACACUGGAACUGAGACACGGUCCAGACUCCUACGGGAGGCAGCAGUAGGGAAUCUUCCGCAAUGGGCGAAAGCCUGACGGAGCAACGCCGCGUGAGCGAUGAAGGUCUUCGGAUCGUAAAACUCUGUUAUUAGGGAAGAACAUAUGUGUAAGUAACUGUGCACAUCUUGACGGUACCUAAUCAGAAAGCCACGGCUAACUACGUG
rnacentral:rRNA from 1 species